GCUCAGGACGAACGCUGGCGGCGUGCUUAACACAUGCAAGUCGAACGAUGAAGCCCUUCGGGGUGGAUUAGUGGCGAACGGGUGAGUAACACGUGGGCAAUCUGCCCUUCACUCUGGGACAAGCCCUGGAAACGGGGUCUAAUACCGGAUACCACUCCUGCCUGCAUGGGCGGGGGUUGAAAGCUCCGGCGGUGAAGGAUGAGCCCGCGGCCUAUCAGCUUGUUGGUGGGGUAAUGGCCCACCAAGGCGACGACGGGUAGCCGGCCUGAGAGGGCGACCGGCCACACUGGGACUGAGACACGGCCCAGACUCCUACGGGAGGCAGCAGUGGGGAAUAUUGCACAAUGGGCGAAAGCCUGAUGCAGCGACGCCGCGUGAGGGAUGACGGCCUUCGGGUUGUAAACCUCUUCAGCAGGGAAGAAGCGAAANNNUANGUGACGGUACCUGCAGAAGAAGCGCCGGCUAACUACUGCCAGC
rnacentral:rRNA from 1 species